GAUGAACGCUGGCGGCGUGCCUAAUACAUGCAAGUCGAGCGAACAGAUGAGGAGCUUGCUCCUCUGACGUUAGCGGCGGACGGGUGAGUAACACGUGGAUAACCUACCUAUAAGACUGGGAUAACUUCGGGAAACCGGAGCUAAUACCGGAUAAUAUAUUGAACCGCAUGGUUCAAUAGUGAAAGACGGUUUUGCUGUCACUUAUAGAUGGAUCCGCGCCGCAUUAGCUAGUUGGUAAGGUAACGGCUUACCAAGGCAACGAUGCGUAGCCGACCUGAGAGGGUGAUCGGACACAAUGGAACUGGAGCACGGACCAGACUCCUACGAGGAGCAGCAGUAGGGAAUCUUCCGCGAUGGGCGAAAGCCUGACGGAGCAACACCGCGUGAGUGAUAAAGGUCUUCGGAUCGUAAAACUCUGUUAUUAGGGAAGAACAAAUGUGUAAGUAACUAUGCACGUCUUGACGGUACCUAAUCAGAAAGCCACGGCUAACUACGUG
rnacentral:rRNA from 1 species